UUAAGUUUGUGUUUCUUCUAGUGUUGAAGUUGGUGCCACAGUUUUUGUGUUUCUUCUAGUGCUGAAGUUGGUGCCGAAGUUAUACACGGUGCCAUUGGUGCCGAGCGGAGCGUUUUUUCCUAUGAUGCAAUGGAAUAUUGAUGAGGUCCAGGAGUUACCUUCUGUUUUUAUAACUUUUCUUGCAUGGAGAUUAUAGCCAAGUGUGGUUCGUCAAAAUAAUGAUCUUCUCUCAUCAAAGCAUGGAGCCUCAAAUUUUGGUUUGCAUAUUUAUUUUUAAAGCAUACAUUUUCAUGAUAUUUUAUUUCCUCUGGUGUUGCAGGGAUGAUAAUACUUUUCUUUCUCAUGUUUGAUCUUCCCGUUUUGUAUUCUGAUUCUUUUUUUUGGUCUUUUGAUUGAGGUUUGAUUUGGUUCUGAAUUUGAUACAUGUUAAUCGAAAAACGACGUUUUCUGUAGUGCGUUAUGUUUUGAAACAAUAACAUUUGAUUAGUAUCAAGACUCAGGUUUAUUUUGGUACCUCUACUUUGAAUGCGAAUUAUUUUCGUUUCUUUUUUUUUAUCUGGCCGAUUCUUGUUGUCUAGUCUUCUGGAUU